UACAGAGGUCUCAAGCGUUGUUCGGAUUCAUUGGGCGUAAAGGGUGCGUAGGCGGCGCGGUAAGUCGGGUGUGAAAGUCCAGGGCUCAACCCUGGGAUGCCGGUCGAUACUGCCGGACUAGAGUUCGGAAGAGGCGAGUGGAAUUCCCGGUGUAGCGGUGAAAUGCGCAGAUAUCGGGAGGAACACCGGUGGCGAAGGCGGCAUCCUGGACCGGUAUUGACGCUGAGGCGCGAAAGCUGGGGGAGCAAACGGG
rnacentral:rRNA from 1 species